rnacentral:lncRNA from 1 species
CAUGAGAGCCUCACGUAUGUCAAAAUCGUAGAAGAAAGCCUAGAUGUGAAAGGAGAUCUGCUGAACAUGAGGAAGGCGGCUGACUCUGUGUGGCUACAAGUUGAUCUUCAUCAUAAAUGGCUGGAUGUGAAUCUUCGUAAACUGUCCCUACAAGCAGACAGCCCAAAGGAAAUACUUGAAGCACUUGUGGACGCCGCAAAAAAGAAGUACUUGGAACAAAAGGAGACAUAUAUGAAUCAAUGUUACAUUAAGGAAAGCACUGCAAAGUGGCCCAUCAAGGUAUUGGCAUCUAAUUCCAUGUACAGAAUAAGCCAAACAAUUCUGCUGAACUGCCAAAGCAGAAAUAUCCAGACAAGCGAAAGAUUGUUUGAAGUACUUUCUGUCAUGAUAUCCGAUAUAGUUGGUGCCUGUCUCACCAAUUUACCACGUGUCAUAUCCCUGAAUUGUCUGAGUAGUAUCUUUGAAGAAAGAGAAGAAAGUGUGCGGAACACAGUUUACCUUCUUGGCAGAUCUGAAAAGAUAUUGAAAAUCAUAGAGCAAAAGGGCAUCCCAAGUUUACAUCCUGAAGAAAUGGCGUUGAUUGACGAAUGGCGAUCAUUGCAGAAGCCGAAAGACCGUCUUCUCUCCAUUCUAUCUACAUCAGAGAGCAGCUGUGUUACUUCCCCUUCAAGUGAGUUUUGUCUAACCAUUGAGUAAAAUAAUGGAAGCAUGGAACUGAAAGAAGCAAAUAUAUUAUGGUUUACAUUUCUCUUUGAGGCCAGUUCAGGGGAGAGAGAAGAAUGCAACUUACAUAUGUGCAAUGCUUGUAAAUAUUACAAAAUGAAUGUGUAGUACAGAAAAGUAACUUAAAAUUGAGAGACUGCAUCUGCUAGACUUUUGUAGAUAAGUAAUGUAAAAGUGCUGUACNNNNNNNNNNNNNNNNNNNNNNNAAAGGGGGGGGGGGGGGGACAACAUCCCUAAAUUUUGUGAAAAUGAAAAUUAGUUGUAUCCUACAUGCAAAAAUGGCAAUGUGAUGAUGGGAAGAAGAGGUAUAAUGCUAGCGAUACAUAAUCAAAACCCAAGCUACUGCUCUACUAGAUGAAAUUCUCUGUUAUCACAGCAACAACAUAUCGAGAAAGACAUAACCAUUGGGUAUAAGUGCUGCUAAUCAAUAACAUUAACUGUGAACUUCAAUACGAUGCAGAUAUAUGGAAACAGUAGCCAUUGUCAAAAGUUCCAAGAUCGACAGAAAGCUCCGCAAUGAAAGCCUCGUGACCUGGUUGCUUCAGUGCUCGAGAAUUAUCAUCACACAUGCAAAUGAAUUCAAUUAUACCUCAACAAUUUACAGCCCAAAACUACAUUUUCACAUAAUUAUGAUCUGAGCCCAGACCGACUUUCACCUUUAACACAAUUAACAAGAAAAUUAAGACACAAAAUCGCAAAUUAUCUUCAAAUUUCUACUACUAGUUUAAAAUUUCAAGUAAAAUCAAGUCAAGAAUUAUCAGCUCGUUAUUACAACAGGCAUCUUUUAUUUCAUUUUAAAAAAAAAAAAAUCUAACCUGAAACAAGAGUCGUGGUUAGUUUUUUGGGUUUGCAGUAAUUUUCUUCAAUGGCUUUGGGGGUAGUUCUAAGCCAAGUAGAAGCCGAAGGCUGUGCCGGUCAUAAAGGUGAAGCAUACCUUGAUUGUAUUUGUACCUAUUGCUACUGGUGCCCGUACUUAAUUGUCUAUCUCAGUUGAAAUUAGAGGAAUUUUAUCGGAAGAUUUUGUAAUCGUUUGGAUUCAUUUCGGAACGGGGUUCAUUUUCUUGUUCCCCAAGGCUGCUUAUUGUUUUUGUGUGGGGAAUGGAACCGCACUUUUUUAGUGUUUUAUCUCAGAAUAUCCCAUAUUCUUGUGAGAAUUCAAAAUUAAUAUAUUUUUUAGAAUUUAUAAAUUAAUGAUUUUUUUUUUGCAAAAAGUAUUAAUAUUCAUAAAAAUUUCUAACUUAUAUGAAAUAUCACCAUCAUUUUCCUAUUUCCAGCACCUCAUAGUUCAACCUUCUACUUUAGUAUCUCCAUAUUAUUUCAUAAAAUCUGGGGUGGAUUUAAAAAAAAAAUUAAUUAAUUGGGUGCAAAAUUAUAAUGAAAAUUAAUAAUUUAUAAAGCUGACCCCACUAUCAUAAUUUCUUAUAAAAUUUGCCCUAAACCAAACAAAAUUUUAUAAAAAAUUAUUAUGAAAAUAAAUGAAAUUUUUUCUUGAGUGGGAUCAAUUACCCACACUAGGCUCUAUGUAUAGCUAUCCCUGCAUAAAAUCCAAGAAACGCAUAUAUUCAGGGAUAGAUCUAGGAUUAUAUAGUACCCCAAGCUAAAAUUUUUCAAUUUGAGUUUGUUUUUGGAUAGAGAAUUAGAGAUUGAAGUAUAUAUAUAAUUACAUUAGCCUCUUAGGCCAUAAAUUAGUGGUAGAUAUAGCUCAUGUUAUUUGAGAAAUUUAAAGAAGAAAUUGCUUGUGUGCUAUCAUUAAUAUUAUAAAUUUUUCAAUAAAUUACAUUAUCAAAUUCUAUCUUCAACCUAUCUUCGAUUUGAGAAAUUCUAAAAUACCUCAUAUGUAUUACAAUCAAUUGAUGCAUGUAUGGCAUAUAUAGUUGAAUUUAAUACAACCACCACUUGCAUUAUGAUAUUUCAAAAUAAAUACACACAUAUCAUGAUAUUAUUUACUUAUUUUAUAACUGACAUGGUCCCUCAAAUGUAUUCUAGAAUUUUUCUUUCCAUUUAUCUGCAAAACACUUAUUACAGCAGGUCUAUUAUGCUCUACUUUACUUCUCUCCCAAAAGAAUAUGUAACCCAACCUCCAGAACUAAAAGUCAAUUACAUCCCUCGGCAAUAAAUGUUGCAUCAAAUUCAAGCAAGUCAUGAACAAAAUGGUGACUAAGUCAAGUAUGAAAAAAAAAAAUAUAUAUAUAUAUAUAAGGGGGGAACCCCUAUCUUACAUACAAUGUAUCUUACAAUUUUUGUCUUAUUCUUCUUUUCAAAUUCCAUACAAGUCCUUAAUUGUUAUGGAUUUUUAUAGUUGAGGGAGUAUUUGUCUUCUUCCAUCUCUUCUGCAUCUAUUCUUCAUUCUUUCUAAGGUUUCUUUCAUGCCUUUUAAUAAUAGUAAAUGAUUAUCAAAUUCAUAUAAAUCAAUAAAUUUAGAAUAAAUUUCUGGUCCUAAAUUUAUUAUUCCUAUUCUUUCUUGUUCAAGUAAAUCUAUUUUUUGAUCUAUGAGGUUUAUGUAUAUAGUUAUUAUAUUUUCCCAACCUAAAAUCAUACGAUCUAUAUUACUUGUUAUUUCCUGUAUAAGAUGAACUGCUUGGUUUAUAAUGUUUCUGUUUUAUACCAAUAAACUAAGAAUGUUACGAAUUUAUCUAUAAAUUUCAUUUUCUUUUCUAUCAAAAUUUCGCCACCGGUUGUAUCUAUAUUUCUUUCUCUUAAUUCCUCCGUUAAUUCAAUUUCUAUGUUUCUUAUAUUAUUUUUCUCUGUUUUAAUUGCUUUUAUUAAAUUAUUUAUUUCUUCUUUAUUAUAUACUUUUAACGUAUAUCAACUAUCGGCUAUUGCCUGUAUAGGGUCCAUUUCUUGGAUCUAUUAUGGCUCUGAUACCAUCCACGUUCGCUUGAACGAAAAAUAAAAAUUGAAUACUGAAUAACUAAAAUUAAACUGAAUAAUUAAAAUAAUGACAUUAAGUGAUUAAAUGAUACAUAGAAAACAAAAUAGAAAACUAAUCAAAAUAUAAAGAAUAAAUAAAUAAUUUUAAUUCUUACUAGUGAUUUAUUAUUAUUGAUUUUUCCUGGUUUUAUAGGGUAUAUCUAUCGUAUCCUGUGUUACUAUUAUUCCUUAAAUAUAAGGCUAUAACCUGCUCUUCUUCAAUUAUUCUAGGUAUAUUAUUAGGAAGAGUGGGGAGAUAAAAUUCAUAAUAAUUAUUAUUAGUUUCUAAAAUAUAUGUAGGAUUAUUUAAAUCUGAAAUUUCUAGAUUAUGUGUAGUAUUUUCUGAAUAAUAGGAUGUCUCUAUUUUUAUAAAAUAUAUAUUAUUAUUUAGUAUACUAAUGUAAUAUCUGGUUUCUCUGUGAGUGUCCAUGUUUAUAGAUCAUUCUGAUUAUGGGUACGUGGCUUGUUAUCCCAAAAUACAGAGGAUACUGACGCCCAAUAGGGAUCGUCUAUCCAAUUUACGUUAUGGGUUGCUUGCCUAUAUACCUUAUAAUCAUUAUAUGUGUUAUAUUUCGAAUUUUUAUAGUUCAAGUUCUUCAUUAUCGGAAUUUUCUAUGUAAUUUAUGUAUGAUGGUCCGAUCUCUCGACUUUCAUGUUUUAUAUAUGCCAAGGCUAUGUCAAUCCCUUCUUCUACUGUUAACAUAAUUAUGUUAUGCUUUAAAUUAUCUAUUUCAAUAUGGUUUAUAAGCUUUCUUUUUAUUUCUUUUGGUAAGUCAAGCGUGUAUACCGCUUGUAGGUCUUCUAUUCUAACAAGCUCUUCCUUACUUAAAAGAUAAGAACUCUGUUUAAAUGAUCCUAAGUUAAAAUCUAUUAUCAUCAUAUAAUUGUUAUAUGUUAUUCUAGUUGUUGAGUUUAUCAUAUAUUCUUUAGAAUUUCCUAACAAGAUAUUGUUAUUCAUUGAAAACUAAAAUAUUUCAUUUAUGGAGAUUAGCUCUUCCUCCAUAAAUCUCCUCAUCAUUAAUCAUCAACAAACUUCCACCAACAGAUAAGGUUUGAGAAUUAUUACCUAAGUUAUUCUUGUUUCUCU